rnacentral:rRNA from 1 species
AUACAGAGGGUGCAAGCGUUAAUCGGAAUUACUGGGCGUAAAGGGCGCGUAGGCGGUCAGGUCAGUCGGAUGUGAAAUCCCCGGGCUCAACCUGGGAAUUGCAUUCGAUACUGCCUGGCUAGAGUGUGGAAGAGGGAAGCGGAAUUUCCGGUGUAGCGGUGAAAUGCGUAGAUAUCGGAAGGAACACCAGUGGCGAAGGCGGCUUCCUGGUCCAACACUGACGCUGAGGCGCGAAAGCGUGGGGAGCGAACAGGAUUAGAUACCCUGGUAGUCCACGCUGUAAACGAUGAGAACUAGAUGUUGGGAGGUAUAACCUCUCAGUGUCGCAGCUAACGCAUUAAGUUCUCCGCCUGGGGAGUACGGCCGCAAGGUUGAA